rfam:Salmo salar isolate Sally breed double haploid chromosome ssa09, whole genome shotgun sequence.
UAUUUCAAGACAUGGCAUAUAAGUCGCUCUGGAUAAGAGCGUCUGCUAAAUGACGUAAA